UACGGAGGGUGCAAGCGUUAUCCGGAUUCACUGGGUUUAAAGGGUGCGUAGGAGGGUAGGUAAGUCAGUGGUGAAAUCUUCGAGCUUAACUCGGAAACUGCCGUUGAUACUAUCUAUCUUGAAUACCGUGGAGGUGAGCGGAAUAUGUCAUGUAGCGGUGAAAUGCUUAGAUAUGACAUAGAACACCAAUUGCGAAGGCAGCUCGCUACACGAAUAUUGACUCUGAGGCACGAAAGCGUGGGGAGCAAACAGG
rnacentral:rRNA from 1 species